rnacentral:rRNA from 1 species
AUUGAACGCUGGCGGCAUGCCUUACACAUGCAAGUCGAACGGUAACAGGUCUUCGGAUGCUGACGAGUGGCGAACGGGUGAGAAAUACAUCGGAACGUGCCCGAGAGUGGGGGAUAACGAGGCGAAAGCUUUGCUAAUACCGCAUACGAUCUCAGGAUGAAAGCAGGGGACCGCAAGGCCUUGCGCUCACGGAGCGGCCGAUGGCAGAUUAGGUAGUUGGUGGGAUAAAAGCUUACCAAGCCGACGAUCUGUAGCUGGUCUGAGAGGACGACCGGCCACACGGGAACUGCGCGACGGCCCAGACUCCUACGGGAGGCAGCAGUGGGGAAUUUUGGACAAGGGGCGCAAGCCUGAUCCAGCAAUGCCGCGGGCAGGAUGAAGGCCUUCGGGUUGUAAACUGCUUUUGUACGGAACGAAAAGCCCUGGGUUAAUACCCUGGGGUCAUGACGGUACCGUAAGAAUAAGCACCGGCUAACUACGUGCCAGCAGCCGCCGUAACAC